ensembl:lncRNA
CUCUAUCUCUAAUAUUUCACAUUACCUUCUGGAAAAACUUUGGGAAAAAAGCCCUACAUAUAUUUGGGGGGAGUACUAUUAUCCCCACUGAGAUAAAGAAACUGAGGCUCGAGAUUGAGUGCUCUGUCACCCAACUAGUAAGUGUCCUGAGUCAGGAUGAACUCGUUUUUACUCCAGAUCCACAGUUCUAUCUAUUACAUCACCUCAAGGCAGCUUCCCUGUGGGAAUAUAUGAACAAGAGGUAUACAGGAAUAGGGGCCAUGGAAAGAUUAUGUAGGUAUUGUUGGAGCCAGUACCCACAUUUUGAAUCCACUAAGGAUACUUAAAUAAUAACCUAACUUUUUGUUUAUUCCACCCUUUUCCACUCCCAUACCACUGUUGUUAGGGAAGGGCUUGAAGACUUAUUAGCAUUAUGUAUAUGAUACAUAUGCAUAUACAGACAAUUCUCACUUUUCGCAAAUUCCCAUUAUACACAUAAAGAAUUUUGAAAGGCAUCUACAUUCCCCCAAAAUCUAUUUUAACUACUGCACAGUGCUGUGCUCUUCCUUUGCUGCUUCCCUUCUACUAGGCACUCUGCAGCCUGCCCCUUCCCCUCAAAAAAGUACCCAGAGGCAGUGACCAACAAGGGGAGAGGGAGGUUGGAUGGAGACCACCCAGAGGUGACCUUAUUCACUGCCCCCGUAUCUGGCCCCUAUUUUCCAUCCCGGAAUGUUCCAGGACCAUGUGACUAUCUUCCUUUUUCUGCUCUGGCUUCUGUCACCGUAUCCUUGAGCCAGGAACCGGCCUUCUCCCUGGACAGAUGAGUGCCCCCUUUGCCUGCCUCCCUGCUUUCCUCCUCCACUUCUGGGGGCACGCUGGAUUUACAUAAAAAUGGCUUUAAGCAAAACUCCGCGGAAUGCUCCACUUCCCUAAAAGGAUUAUGGGAUUGCAAUAGCAUGGCCCAUUCAAGUUCAACACGUCCACAACAGAGCUUCUUCUGUCCCUCACCUCUCAAACUUUCCUAUUUCUGCUGCUGAAGGCCCUACAGGCCCACAAGCUCGGUGCCGUGUUUGAAGCCCGCACUCCAUAUUUGCCAUCUGUUUACGCAUAUUGUGCUUUCUACCUUCCUAACCUGUCUGUCUCCUGCCUAUCUCCUACUUUUCUUUAUAAACCCACCUGGAUGGCUGCAAUUGCCUCCUAAAGUCUCCCUGUCUCUCUCCUCCCUGAUCCCUCCUGCGGCAGCCUGUGAUUUCCCUGAAGCAGAGGUCUGGCUGUCUCACCCACCUAACCAACAGCUUUGGGGCUCCCUAUCACCUCUAAGGCUAAACGCAAAGGUACAUUUGGCGUCUAAAGUCCUUCGCCCCUGCCCUUUGCUCUUCUCCAAGUCCCGGACCUUGCCCGGGUGCAGCUCCUGCUGGUGCAGCUCCUCCUUCCCGCUCCGCACCUCACAGCCCAGCCCCCCACCCACUCGCCUCUGCUCGGGUGGGUCCGGGCCAGGCUCUUGGAUACCUUCCACCUGCUCCGCACUUAUUUACGCAGCUUUCCUCCUCCUCCUCAGAAUGUGACCUCCUGGAAGGCUCGGAGGUUGGGGGGGUUGGGGGGAGAAGGGGGAGAGGAUCCCCCUAUUUAACACAGAGCCUUAAACAAAAAUCAAAUCAAACCGCCUUCUGAUUAGCCACAAGCAACUGCAUAGUGAUCACUGACAAUUGUACGACUGCAAGCGUUCAGCGGGUUUCAUAUAAAAUUUUUAAAAGGAUCACAGGUCUUUUCUAUUACAAAACAGCCUUCCAUAGCACGCGUUUCACAUUUUAAUAUUCUCCCAAGGCUUAACUAGCGCCCCUCUUUUCCUUAAGAACAACCAGUCACUUUCCCGAGGGGGCCUCGGUCUUUCACCACUUAAACCUGCGUUCCACUUCGUCCGCGAUCACCUCGGAAAUGGCCAGGGAGGCGGUGGCCGCGGGGGACGGGGCGUUCCUCACGUGGAGCACGCGGGAAGCCAGGCCCCCGACCCCUCCGUCGAACACGAAGUCGUCCACCAGGUUUCCGAGGCUGUCCAGGGCCUGCGCCCGGACUCCGGACGGGCCCCGCUGGACGUCGCUGACGGUGAUCUCGGGCAGCAGCUUCUGGAGCUGCCGGACCGUGGCCGUGAGGGACAGGGCCCGGUACAGCUCGCCGGCGCCGAAGAAGGCGUGGCGCAGCGCCAGGCGGGCCAGGCCGCUGUUGCGCAGGGAGUCCCACGUGUCCUGGGCCGAGAAGUCCAGCGGGCUGUAGCCCUCCCGCUUGAAGGCCAGGACGGCGUUGGGCCCGACCCAGACGCUGCCGUCCAUCCUGGGCGUGAAGUGGACCCCUAGGAAGGGGAAGCGGGGGUCGGGCACGGGGUAAAUGUUGCCCCGCACCAUGAAGGCCUUCUCGGGCCGGAGCACCAGGUAGUCCCCGCGGAAGGGCACGAUGGCCGGCUCGGGGCUGCAGCCGCUCAGCUGGGACACGCGGUCCGAAUGCAGGCCCGCGCAGGUGACCACGAAGUGUGCCUGCACGUGGGCGCCCCAGAUGCUCUGCAGCACGAUGGGCACCUCGGGCCAGUCGUGGGCCAAGUCCAGGCGGCUGACCUCGAAGUUGGUGCAGAUGGAGCCGCCCGCCUCGCGGAUGUCCUCGGCGAAGGCGGCGGCCACGCGCCCGUAGUCCACGAUGCCCGUGGAGGGGCACUCGAGGGCCAGCAGGCCGCGGCAGAAGGGCUCGCGGAGCUGGAUGUCGUGCGGCGACAGCAGGCGCAGGCCCAGCACCUUGUUCUGCAGGCCCCGCUGGUGGAGGGCGUGCAGGCGCGGCAGCUCUGCCUGCUCCGCGGCCACCACCAGCUUGCCGCAGCGCCGGUAGGGGAUGCCCCGCUGGUCGCAGUAGGCGUACAGGAGGCCCGCGCCCUGAACGCACAGCCGGGCUUUCAGCGAUUCCGGCAGGUAGUAGAUGCCGCUGUGGAUGACGCCGCUAUUGUGGCCUGUCUGGUGCUGCGCUAUGGCCCCCUCCUUCUCCACCACAAGGACGCGCAGGCCCGGCCGGCGGAGCAGCAGGGCCCGAGCCACCGCCAGGCCCAAGAUGCCCGCGCCCACGACGACCACGUCGUAAAUGUCGGGGCCGCUGCUGCUGUGGCUCUGGCUACCAACGCCGUGGGACAGCGCCCGCCUCACAGGGCCCCGGGUCUGCACCCCGGAGGCCCAGGCGACCCGGGAGAGCCGAGCCACCAGGGCCAUCCUCGGAGCCACCAGGGCGUGCUGGAGCAGCAGCAUGGCGUGCCUCAAAGGGCCGAAUGUGUCGGAAGUGGGGCUGCACCUGACCAAUACUUCCGGAAUCUCUCAAUGUCUAUAAAAACUUGAAGAAUGCAAGC